ensembl:misc_RNA Y_RNA Y RNA
GGCUGGUCCAAAGAUAGUGAGUUAUCUCAAUUGUUCACAGUCAGUUACAGAUGGAACUCCUUGUUCUGCUCCCUUCCCUCACUACUGCACUUGACUAAUCUUUA